rnacentral:rRNA from 1 species
AUUGAACGCUGGCGGCAGGCCUAACACAUGCAAGUCGAGCGGAUGAAGGGAGCUUGCUCCUGGAUUCAGCGGCGGACGGGUGAGUAAUGCCUAGGAAUCUGCCUUGUAGUGGGGGAUAACGUCCGGAAACGGGCGCUAAUACCGCAUACGUCCUGAGGGAGAAAGUGGGGGAUCUUCGGACCUCACGCUAUCAGAUGAGCCUAGGUCGGAUUAGCUAGUUGGUGGGGUAAAGGCCUACCAAGGCGACGAACCGUAACUGGUCUGAGAGGAUGAUCAGUCACACUGGAACUGAGACACGGUCCAGACUCCUACGGGAGGCAGCAGUGGGGAAUCUUGGACAAUGGGCGAAAGCCUGAUCCAGCCAUGCCGCGUGUGUGAAGAAGGUCUUCGGAUUGUAAAGCACUUUAAGUUGGGAGGAAGGGCAGUAAGUUAAUACCUUGCUGUUUUGACGUUACCAACAGAAUAAGCACCGGCUAACUUCGUG